UUUCAUCCGGCCGCGGCGGCGGUUGCCUUGGGGGGCCGCCGGCGGCGGUCCCCCCUCCUCCAAGGGGUGUUGUGAUUCUUCAUCUUCUCCACUUCUUCAAAAUCCAUCGAUGCUUCUUUAAGAUUUUGAGCAUAAUAUAAAGGCUCUACCACAUGCAAUUAACAAGAUCAGCCACACAAGAGGACUCAUGGCAAUGAUGUGGAAAUAGUAAAAGUUCAAGGCUUACCAACGGAGCAUAGACUUGCUCCGGUGUGUGUUGAAAUGUUACCGAAAAGAAGCAAAAUCCGAAGAAAAAAACUUCAAGAGCAAGGAUAAAAAAAAGUGGUGGAAGAGUUCUCUUGAAGAACCAAGGAAAGAAUGAGAAAAAAAACAUGGAAAGAGAGCUUGAAAGAUGGAAAGUGUUGAAAAUCCUUUCAUGAAACAUGUUCAUGACAUAAUUGAUUUUUUUAUGAAAAUUCUGAACUCUUGUAAUGAAAUGAAUGUGGGAUAGAUCUAGGAAUAUUUAGGAGUCAAAAUUGAGUCAAUGGUCAAAAGUUGACCAAAAGUCAACUGUUGACCAAAAAGUCAACCAUACCAAAAUGAUGUAAUUUUUUUUAUUUUUUUCCUUGUAAUCCCUUAUCUUCACUCGUGUCUCAAACAAUAAGCCGUGUAUCAUGAAUAAAUAAAAUAUUAUGUCAAUUUUCAA